rnacentral:rRNA from 1 species
AUUGAACGCUGGCGGCAGGCCUAACACAUGCAAGUCGAGCGGAGCGGCGGACGGGUGAGUAAUGCAUAGGAAUCUGCCUGGUAGCGGGGGAUAACGUCCGCAACCGGGCGCUAAUACCGCAUACUCUCAGAUGAGCCUAGGUCGGAUUAGUUAGUGGGUGGGGUAAAGGUCUACCAAGGCGACGAUCCGUAACUGGUCUGAGAGUAAGAUCAGUCAAAAUGGAACUGAGACACGGUCCAGACUCCUACGGGAGGCAGCAGUGGGGAAUAUUGGACAAUUGGCGAAAGCCUGAUCCAGCCAUGCCGCGUGGGUGAAGAAGGUCGUCGGAUUGUAAAGCACUUUAAGUUGGGAGGCGUUACCAACAGAAUAAGCACCGGCUAACUUCGUGCCAGCAGCCGCGGUAAUUC